rnacentral:tRNA from 1 species
GCCUGAAUCGUCUAAUAGGCUAAGACACCGCUUUGGUAGGGCGGAAAUCAGGGUUCGAUUCCCUGUUGAGGCU